rnacentral:rRNA from 2 species
CAAAGGACUCUCGACAACGGAUAUCUCGGCUCACGCAUCGAUGAAGAACGUAGCAAAAUGCGAUACUUGGUGUGAAUUGCAGAAUCCCGUGAACCAUCGAGUUUUUGAACGCAAGUUGCGCCCGAAGCCUUUUGGCCAAGGGCACGUCUGCCUGGGUGUCACAC